rnacentral:misc_RNA from 1 species
UGCAAACCUAUCUUGCCCCCCUCGGUUACUAAUUUAGCAGCUGUCACCAACCAAUGUCCAGGUGCAUCAUGCGGGCCUCGCACUACCUCAGCUGUCUCUACAUACUUAAGCAGCUUUCCAGAGCGAAUUGGAACAGGAGGACCAUCUGGAUAGACUCCAGAAUUAAGUGCAGCUGGAGGUUGCUUUUCUGGACCACUGAUGGUUCGCUGAGUGAACGUGAAAGUGGUGCUCAGAUUAGUGAGAAAACUUGACUUGUGAGACGCUUCUGGUGCAACAGCCCACUCUGUUUUCCUGAUGGCACAGUUCGGUAAGUGUGUGAACAGCAGACGAAGGUGAAGUACUGUCUUAGGCCACUUCCCUUUGCAAAGGAGCUGUGCACCAGUUACAAUAAAAACACCAGUUGAAUCUCCCUGCAGCCAGUUGGGAUCAUGCUUAACAACAGAUGUGCACACCCUAGAGUAUCUCUUCCAUCUAAUGGGUUCCAAGAACUGGUCACCAGAUUUAUAAUCAUCAGAGCCUCGCCACUGACAUGGCCUACAUAUGGUGGUGUCUCUUGAUGGGAAGGUCAUGAUAUUUGGAAGACUUGAAAGAUGCUGUAGAUGUAAUGCUAGUAGAUUGCAUUUCUUCCCUUCUAAGUACAAACGUAGGCCUACCACAGGUUUUUGAUCACUUGAAACCUGGGUAGAGCUAACAUAUAUUUUAGGACCCAUAAAGCUGAAUCUCAAGGAAGGGCAAGAAGCUUUUCUUCUUUGGUGUCGCAGAGGCAGCUCACAAAACAUAGGUGCCCAUUGCUUUGGAACUUGAAAUUCCAAGAAGUACUCUAGAUCCUCUGGAGCAGGCUUGUAACGGAGAUACAAGUUGAUAGCAUGACUAAGAUAACCACUGCCAGGAAUCCCAGUUAGAAGAGAAGUAAUAGGUACAAACUUGAAGAGAAUUGCUUCUGGUUUUAUAGGCACAGUCUGGAGCCAAUUGGAGUGAUGGCGUGAGAAUACAUCACCUCCUCUUUUUGAACAAAUGAUAGUGAGGCCAUCCUUGUUUGAUGUUUCUGCAAUGCUGGUCAAUGGCACCGUGUUUGAUUGCCGAAUAUGGCUAAAGACCUCAGGAACUUUUUGUUUGCUAUCUCUUGUAUUCCUUUGUAAUAGAGGUAGGCUUCUUUUAUCAGAAAAUAGAAAGUCCCCAAGAUCCUCCAAGUGCUUUCUGAGCUCAGCAGAAGGAAUUGGCGAGGUAGGUUUCUGUCUAACACAAAUUAAAUCUUGACCUCCCACAGCCAUCCCUACUAUUAUGUGUGUACCAUAUGUUCGGAUGAACCUAGCCAAUGAUGCUGGAUUCCAACGAGGUGGAACAGACUUCCUUACUUUGUCUUGCAAUAUUAGAGGAGAUGCUGUUAGGUGCAAAUAGUACAAUGCAAUGAAGUAACCGUCAAAAGCGAGAUACUUGGUAUCUGAAGCAUCACGAAACCACUCUCCAGUUAAAUCGAAAAUGGAAUUAAGAUAUCCUGAAGGAACCUUUCCAUGUAUUGAACAUUUCUGAUUAAGUAGUUCUGACAUCUGAUUGAAUUCAAGAACAUCAGAUUUGAAGCGAAU